GUGUCAGCAGCCGCGGUAAUACCGGCAGCACGAGUGAUGACCGCUCUUAUUGGGCCUAAAGCGUCCGUAGCUGGCCACGCAAGUCUAUCGGGAAAUCCGCGCGCUCAACGCGCGGGCGUCCGGUGGAAACUGUGUGGCUUGGGACCGGAAGAUCCAGAGGGUACGUCCGGGGUAGGAGUGAAAUCCCGUAAUCCUGGACGGACCACCGGUGGCGAAAGCGCUCUGGAAAGACGGAUCCGACGGUGAGGGACGAAAGCUCGGGUCACGAACCGGAUUAGAUACCCUCGUAGUCC
rnacentral:rRNA from 1 species